GUCACUGUCUGCAAAUCCUGUUGUUUAUAAGGAAGUAAACAUACUGCUGUCUGUCUUGAGCCAUAUGUGAGUCGUUCUCGGUGCUCACAUUCUAGCACUGUAGAAGAGAACCAGAAAAUUACAGUUAUACACAAAAGAAGCCAACUUCUCUUGGAUUCGAAGCAUGUCAAAGAAAGCAGAUUCCUAGGUGAGAACUGUCUGGCUAGAACACACUAGUAAACAUUCUUUGAGUUUGU